GACGAACGCUGGCGGCGCGCUUAACACAUGCAAGUCGAACGGAAAGGCCUGCUUUCCCUUGUGGAUUGCGGGUACUCGAGUGGCGAACGGGUGAGUAACACGUGAGUGAUCUGCCCCCAACUUGGGUAUAAGCCUGGGAAACUGGGUCUAAUUCCCGAUAGGACUGCAGGGUGGUGCCUGUGGUGGAAAACGAUUUUCUAGUGGUUGGGGAUGAGCUCGCGGCCUAUCAGCUUGUUGGUGGGGUAAUGGCCUACCAAGGCGGCGACGGGUAGCCGGCCUGAGAGGGUGGACGGCCACAGUGGGACUGAGAUACGGCCCAGACUCCUACGGGAGGCAGCAGUGGGGAAUAGUGCACAAUGGGCGGAAGCCUGAUGCAGCGACGCCGCGUGGGGGAUGACGGCCUUCGGGUUGUAAACUCCUUUCGACCGCGAGGAAGCCGCCUGGUUGGAAGGGUGGUGACGGUAGUGGUAGAAGAAGCACCGGCUAACUACGUG
rnacentral:rRNA from 1 species